ensembl:lncRNA
CAGAGACACCUCUGCCCCAGCCCAGAAGUGCAGGCCACUGAGCCCGACUGUCCCCUCUGGAGCUGUCCUCGCCCAGCACCCGUUUCUGCCUGGAGGAGUGAAGGAGGACCUGAGCUCUGUUCCUGACUGAUGGACGCCUGAGGUGGGCAGUGCAGGCCCCGGCUGGCAGCUGCCACCGACCAGGACCAGGCAGCGAGGUGCUGGGCGGAAGCCCUAUCUGCUGAGAAGCAAACAUUUCAAUUUUAAAGGUUAGAGUGAGGGGCCUGGGGUGAGCUCGGCAACAGAGGCCUUUCCUAGCAUGCACCAGGCCCUGAGCAUCAUCUCCAGCACACACACCAUCCAAGGAAAAAAGCAAAACAGCCCGGUGUGUAAACCUCACACCUACGGGGAGUCAGCUUGCGUUGCCUGUUCAUCAGAAGAAAAGAAGAUGAACUGUGAAGGGAACCAGGCUGAGGAGCAGUCUCGAGGGCACGCAGGACCUCACCACAGGGCCUCUGUGUGCCACCUUCGACAGCGGACACAGGACCUGCACAGAAAGCCUUGGCCCCUUGCGGGCUCGGAAAUGACCACCCAGAAAAGUCUCAGGAAACGUUGUCAUUGCAAAGUCGUGGUGUUUGAUAUUUCAUCUGUUUAUUUGUAGUGAUUAAAAAUAAAACCCAUCAUGUAAUAACAA